rnacentral:rRNA from 1 species
GAUGAACGCUAGCGGCAGGCUUAACACAUGCAAGUCGAGGGGUAGAUAUCUUCGGAUAUUGAGACCGGCGCACGGGUGCGUAACGCGUAUGCAAUCUACCUUAUACAGGGGGAUAGCCCAGAGAAAUUUGGAUUAAUACCCCAUAGUAUAGUUGAAUGGCAUCAUUUGACUAUUAAAGUUCCAACGGUAUAAGAUGAGCAUGCGUCCCAUUAGCUAGUUGGUGUGGUAACGGCACACCAAGGCAACGAUGGGUAGGGGUCCUGAGAGGGAGAUCCCCCACACUGGUACUGAGACACGGACCAGACUCCUACGGGAGGCAGCAGUGAGGAAUAUUGGUCAAUGGGCGCAAGCCUGAACCAGCCAUGCCGCGUGCAGGAUGACGGUCCUAUGGAUUGUAAACUGCUUUUGUACAGGAAGAAACACUCCCUCGUGAGGGAGCUUGACGGUACUGUAAGAAUAAGGAUCGGCUAACUCCGUGCCAGCAGCCGCGGUAAUACGGAGGAUCCAAGCGUUAUCCGGAAUCAUUGGGUUUAAAGGGUCCGUAGGCGGUUUUAUAAGUCAGUGGUGAAAUCUGGUCGCUCAACGAUCAAACGGCCAUUGAUACUGUAAGACUUGAAUUACUUGGAAGUAACUAGAAUAUGUAGUGUAGCGGUGAAAUGCUUAGAGAUUACAUGGAAUACCAAUUGCGAAGGCAGGUUACUACAAGUGGAUUGACGCUGAUGGACGAAAGCGUGGGGAGCGAACAGGAUUAGAUACCCUGGUAGUCCACGCCGUAAACGAUGGAUACUAGCUGUUCGGUGCAAACUGAGUGGCUAAGCGAAAGUGAUAAGUAUCCCACCUGGGGAGUACGCUCGCAAGAGUGAAACUCAAAGGAAUUGACGGGGGCCCGCACAAGCGGAGGAGCAUGUGGUUUAAUUCGAUGAUACGCGAGGAACCUUACCAAGGCUUAAAUGGGAAACGACAGGUUUGGAAACAGACUUUUCUUCGGACGUUUUUCAAGGUGCUGCAUGGUUGUCGUCAGCUCGUGCCGUGAGGUGUCAGGUUAAGUCCUAUAACGAGCGCAACCCCUGUUGUUAGUUGCCAGCGAGUCAUGUCGGGAACUCUAACAAGACUGCCAGUGCAAACUGUGAGGAAGGUGGGGAUGACGUCAAAUCAUCACGGCCCUUACGCCCUGGGCUACACACGUGCUACAAUGGACGGUACAGAGAGCAGCCACUACGCAAGUAGGAGCGAAUCUACAAAACCGUUCUCAGUUCGGAUCGGAGUCUGCAACUCGACUCCGUGAAGCUGGAUUCGCUAGUAAUCGCAGAUCAGCCAUGCUGCGGUGAAUACGUUCCCGGGCCU